CCUACGGGGGGCAGCAGUGAGGAAUAUUGGUCAAUGGCCGGAAGGCUGAACCAGCCAAGCCGCGUGAAUGACGAAGGUGCCCAGCAUUGUAAACUUCUUUUGUCAAGGGACAAAAUCAGGCUCGAGAGCCUGACCGAGGGUACUUGAAGAAACAGCCUCGGCUAACACCGUGCCAGCAGCCGCGGUAAUCCGGGGGAUGCGAUCGUUAUCCGGAUUUAUGGGGUUGAAAGGGUGCGUAGGCGGACUGCUAAGUCAGCGGGAAAAGCCAGGGGCUCAACCCCGGCGCGCUGUUGAAACCGGCUGUCGUGAGAUGGCGAGAGGUAAGCGGAAUGCGCGGUGUAGCGGUGAAAUGCAUAGAUAUCGCGAAGAACUCCGAUUGCGAAGGCAGCAUGCCGG
rnacentral:rRNA from 1 species